GCACCAGCACUUCAGAGAAGAACCUGACUUACCUGAUCAAUAGAAUAGAAAAUGCACUGGAUGAAGGAGGGGUGGCUUCCUUCAGGGUCAUCAAGAUAAAUUAAAAAGAAAGGCUCAAUGGACACUUCAUUACUGAUCUGUUUUGGAAAAAAAAGAAAGUUUUAACAGCUUCAUUGAGCAAGAGAUUACGGAACUCAUCUACAUCAGAAGGUUGCAGGCAAUCUCAAAAGGUCUCAACAAAGGCAGAGGGUUUUUUACACAUUACAAUUGUUAAUGCUCAGGUACUUGUAAUCUGCCUCAUGUGUAACCUACAUCUGCAUAACUGCCUUGUUUUCAAUUCCCUUCCCUUCAUCUCCCAACGCCUCCUCUCAAUUUAAACCCUGAAGCAGUUCAGCCACCCUGUGCCUCUGAUAAAGUCAGCUGUACUCACAAAAAUAUAUGCCUUUUGCAGGUAGUUUUUUCCCC